rnacentral:rRNA from 1 species
GACGAACGCUGGCGGCGUGCUUAACACAUGCAAGUCGAACGAUGAAGCCGGAGCUUGCUCUGGUGAAUUAGUGGCGAACGGGUGAGUAACACGUGAGUAACCUGCCCAUAAGACUGGGAUAACUCCGGGAAACCGGGGCUAAUACCGGAUAAUAUUUUGAACUGCAUGGUUCAAAAUUGAAAGGCGGCUUCGGCUGUCACUUAUGGAUGGACCCGCGUCGCAUUAGCUAGUUGGUGAGGUAACGGCUCACCAAGGCAACGAUGCGUAGCCGACCUGAGAGGGUGAUCGGCCACACUGGGACUGAGACACGGCCCAGACUCCUACGGGAGGAAGCAGUAGGGAAUCUUCCGCAAUGGACGAAAGUCUGACGGAGCAACGCCGCGUGAGUGAUGAAGGCUUUCGGGUCGUAAAACUCUGUUGUUAGGGAAGAACAAGUGCUAGUUGAAUAAGCUGGCACCUUGACGGUACCUAACCAGAAAGCCACGGCUAACUACGUGCCAGCCGCCGCCGUAA